rnacentral:rRNA from 1 species
UACGGAAGGCAGCAGUAAGGAAUAUUGGUCAAUGGGCGCAAGCCUGAACCAGCCAUGCCGCGUGCAGGAAGAAGGCCUUCGGGUUGUAAAGUACUUUCAGUCGUGAGGAAGGUGUUAAGGUUAAUAACCUUAGCAAUUGACGUUAGCGACAGAAGAAGCACCGGCUAACUCCGUGCCAGCAGCCGCGGUAAUACGGAGGGUGCGAGCGUUAAUCGGAAUUACUGGGCGUAAAGGGCACGCAGGCGGUUAAUUAAGUUGGAUGUGAAAUCCCCGGGCUUAACCUGGGAAUGGCAUUCAAGACUGGUUAGCUAGAGUCUUGUAGAGGGGGGUAGAAUUCCAUGUGUAGCGGUGAAAUGCGUAGAGAUGUGGAGGAAUACCGGUGGCGAAGGCGGCCCCUGGACAAAGACUGACGCUCAUGUGCGAAAGCGUGGGGAGCAAACAGGGAUUAGAUACC